rnacentral:rRNA from 1 species
UACCUAGGGGGCAAGCGUUGUUCGGAAUUACUGGGCGUAAAGGGCGCGUAGGCGGCACGGCAAGUCAGGAGUGAAAGGCCUGGGCUCAACCGAGGAACUGCUUUUGAGACUGCCGAGCUAGAGUGCGGAAGGGGCAACCGGAAUUCCCAGUGUAGCGGUGAAAUGCGUAGAUAUUGGGAAGAACACCUGAGGCGAAGGCGGGUUGCUGGGCCGACACUGACGCUGAGGCGCGAAAGCCAGGGGAGCAAACGGG